GGGCCGCUGAUGGGUGAAGAGAUGUCGGGGCCCGGCGACUCUCCGCAUCGCUCCCUGUAUAAACAGGUGGGCUCGCCGCCCUGGAAGGAGGCUUUCAGGCUGGGAUGUCUGGAGAGAAUGAGAAACAGCCGAGAAAGGCUCCUGAACAAGUACCGUCAAGCUGGUGGCAAUAUGCCACUGAGGACUCCAGAUAAGCUUCUAGUGCAAGAGAUAAUGGAGGAAGAAUGGAAUUCUUUACAGUCUAAGGAGAACUGUCCAGAGCCCUUGACUCAGUCGGGGUUGUCAGUGCACCUAGCGCUGCUGGAGGAAAUCCAACAGGAGUUGAUUGAUGAAGAGCAGUCCAUCCUCCUGGAGUACGAGAAGAGCCUGCAGUUUGAUGAGAAGUGCCUCAGCGUCAUGCUGGCCGAGUGGGAAACAAACCCCCUCAUCUGCCCUGUGUGUACAAAGUACAAUGUGAGCAUAGUAAACGGUGUGGUCGUGUGUCAGUGUGGCCUGAACAUCCCAUCUCAUUGUCCAGAGUUAACAGAGCAGAAGCUUCGUUCCUCUUUGGAGGACAGUAUAAAUGAACACAGCACACACUGUCCUCAUACACCCCAGUUUUCAGUCACUGGUGGGACAGAAGAAAAACCAAGUCUUCUCAUGAAUUGUCUGGUUAGUCUGCAUUUUUAUUGAGAACUCACACUGGGAGUUCAGGGCCCUGUAACUCAGAGCAGUGGUGAAACGAAAUGGUGGUCUGGAAAGUGGGCGCUGUGCAGCAGUGAUAUAACAUGACAGACAGCACUGGCUCUAGAAGAGACAGGGAAAAAUUGUUUUGGGUGUGUGACACUUGGGCUGUGAUCCUCUAGAGUCAACUGAGGCACACAUCAUUUUUCUGGGUUCAAGACAAAAGGGGCCUUCUGUUUACAAACCACUUAUUUAUAACUUAUUUUACAUUAAAAGUUUCAAACAAC